ensembl:lncRNA
CCAGUGGAAAGGUUUGAUAAUGUCUGUUCUUUUAUCGCUUUCUACAUUUGGUGCUAUAAUGGUUACUUGUGGGUUUUGUUGUAUCCCAUGCAUAAGAGGGCUUGCCAUGAGAGUGAUUUCUACAGCCAUUGAGAAGGCUCCAGGAUCGCCAUCGGGAUGCUGAUGCCUCUACUGGAGCAGCAUGACCUGGGAGAACUGGAGCUUGGCGAAUAGGGGUGAUCUCUCUGGGGAGAGAUCAAAAGGGGGAAUUGUAGAUGUAGUGAUUGUAUAAUUAGUGAACUGUUAUAAGCUGUUGUAACCAAUGAAACAAAAUAUUAAAUGUCUGUAAUAUGAACCGAAACUGAAGGAGCAAGUAGGAGAAUAGGAAACCCUGUUUAAGCAGUUGCCGGGGAGAGAAAGAUUUAGUAUGUCUGUUUUGUGAGAAACAGGUCACAGGUCAGAGACACACACACACAUAGUCGGACAGACAAGACAGAAACCAGAAAGGGGGGCAAGGGGAUACUUGCAGUUAUCCUAUAAGGAAUAAAACUGGGAUUGGGCCAAUGGCACACACUUUGUAAGUUAACGCCUCUAUCUUUUUGGGCGUAGUAGAAGUAUAAAAAUGAUGUUUUGACUGUUGAUCCUUAGACAUUGUGCGGCGACACGUGUCUCCAGAAGCUUCUGUAAUAAAUGGACGUAUAACUACGGUAAUUGCCCUGACUCCCUGUGUUUUAUUCUCCUUUCCAACAAACCAACUCGGGGAAGUGUUAUACUUCAACAUUUGUUGUGCUUUGUCAUGUUAAAUGUCAUUAAGAGUCAAACACAUUUAUUGUUUGAAAAUGUUUUAUUCCGUAAUGCCUACACUAAGGCCUUUACCAGGCCUACCGCAAAGGUAACUUUCUGCCGUGUGUUGAGCUAGUACAUGUAGGGAAAUCUAAACCAGAUGGAUAGAUAGAUAGAACUUUAUUGAUCACGAGGGGAAAUUGAGGUGUUGCAGCAGCAAAAUUCACACAGAUUACAAUAAAUCACAGACUAGACAUUUACACAAACUAAAGUGAGGUUGAAAUGUACAAAAUGUGCAUAUUAAAACAUAUGUUUACAAAUCUAAGAGGCGUACAUGUGCAACUGUGCACAUAUUCAGGAUGUACAAAAUAGUAUCCCUUUAUCAGUGCUAGUAUUGAGAGUGUUGAUGUUGAUGUAUGAUGUUAAACUAAGCAAUGUAAUGCCCUUUGAAAUUAACAUGUCAUUCAGUCUCCUCUCCCUGCCCAGAGGGGAGUUGUUGUGUAUUGUAAUGGCAGUGGGUAGGAAUGACUUGUGUAAAGGCCCUUGCUACAGCAGAGUUGUAGGAGUCUCCAGCUGAAUACACUCUGCUGCCCGACCAGCAGGUUGUGCAGCUGAUGUGAAGUUUUGUCUAAGAUGUUAAACAGUUUGUGUAACAUUCUUUUCUCCACAACCAACUCUAGGGGCUCCAGAGCAGACCCCAGCACAGAGCCAGCCCUCUUUAUUAGCUUGUUCAGUCUCUGAUGCUGCUGCCCAGAGGUGGGGGACUCGAGUCACAUGACUUGACUCGAGUCUGACUCGAGUCACAAUUUUCAGGACUUGUGACUUGCUUGAUUAAAGUAUGAAAAUGACUUGACUUGACUUUGACUUGAGAACAAGUUACUUGAGACUUGACUUGAAGUGGAAGACUGGACAAUGACUUGAACUUAUAAUAAACAAACAGCAAUAGGGCAAUUCCACGCAAAUGUCAACCUUGCUGUGAAAAAUUAAAGUUAUCAUAAAAAAAUCAAAACCCUUUCUAAGUUGUCCAUUUGGAUCUGUAUUUUAUUGUAUUGAUGUGCUGUCAUGUAAAUUUUAAGGACAUUUCUGUUUAUUCACCUCAGAUAAGGUGUGCACAGAUACUAAAAUUGCUUUUUUUAUACAAACCUAUUUCAUGCUUUAAAAAGAGGGAUCAAAGACUCCUUUAAUUAUACUUUAUGUUGAUAGUAAGGAUUUUGCAGAAAGAUGGGGGCAUGACUGAGAUAUAAAUACACUCACUUUUCUUAUAACUGCAUUUCCCUUUAAAUUUAUAAAGGCUAUAUUUAGGAAGUCACGACGCUUAAGUGCUGUGUCCGUAACGAUUUAAAGAAUAAGUUUAGAUUGUAUAAUCAUUAUUAUUACAAUUAAUUUGAAACUUUAUGUACAAAGCCAAAAUAUGUCCAUUCUAGUUAUGAUUGACAAAUCAUCUCAC